CCCUGACAGCGGCACGAUGCCGCUGACAUUUGCCACGACAGGAGAUCCUCAUG
rnacentral:sRNA from 12 species